rnacentral:rRNA from 1 species
UACGUAGGGUGCAAGCGUUGUCCGGAAUUAUUGGGCGUAAAGAGCUCGUAGGCGGUUUGUCGCGUCGAAUGUGAAAACCCGGGGCUCAACCCCGGGCCUGCAUUCGAUACGGGCAGACUAGAGUUCGGUAGGGGAGUCUGGAAUUCCUGGUGUAGCGGUGAAAUGCGCAGAUAUCAGGAGGAACACCGGUGGCGAAGGCGGGACUCUGGGCCGAUACUGACGCUGAGGCGCGAAAGCGUGGGGAGCGAACAGG